rnacentral:lncRNA from 1 species
CAAACAACACACCUGUACACCAGCCUCUCUCUUUCUUUCUCUCGUUCGUUCUAAAAACCAUUCAUCUUCUUUUGUCAUUCAUUCAUACAAAACAUUCAAACCACACAUACACACACACACACACACCAGCAUCUGAAUCAAACGUGUCAGUUUCAAUUCCGAGUACCAGCUGUUGGCAUUUCUGUUUUGUUUGUCAGUUUUAUUUCUUCUCGUCGGAAGCGGCGUGGCAGGAGGGACGUUCUCAUAAUCAUUUGUCUAUAUCUUAUCAUAUCUCCUGCGAGUGUGUUUCUUCGAAUUUUCAGGGCAAUUCAAGAUAAUAUCUGACAAAAAAGAAAGAAAGAAAGAAAGAAAGGAAGAAAGAAAGAAAGAAGUGGAGAUGAAAAGAUAGAAGCAAAAGAAGGAGAAAAAGGACGAAGAAAGCGGUGACCAAGGAAGGAAGAAUUGUCAGUCACAGAGGUUCUUCUACCCGAAAGCGAAAUACGGGUGACUUUGAGGAGAGAGAGAAGAAAAGAGAGACCAGAACACAAGUACACAGUCACUAUAUAUAUACAUAUAUACAUAUAUAGAUAUAUCUGUAUCUAUAUAUGCGUGUGUGUGUGUGUGUACAGGUUAGUCCCACGAGGAAGAAUAUAUAUAUGUAUGUAUAUAUAUAUGUAUGUAUAUAUCUCCAGUCUGUUGGUGUGUGCGGCAACUUGCUGUGUUGCGGAUCGGAUCGGCGAUUGAAAGACUCAAAGAGUCACAGAGAGAGAGAGAGAGAGAAAACACGUUGUGUGAUAUCUCGAAUGUGAGUCACGGGCGGAAUAUCACAUAGAAGAAGAAGAAGAAGAGAAAAAAACCCCAUAAAAUACGACACAAAACCAGAAGGAAAAAAAAAAACGUGGAUAAAAAAGGAAGGAAAAGGAAAAAAUACAAAAGAACCUAAAAAAGAAGAAAAAAUUCUAAAACCAAACACAAGACAUAUUUAUUAAAAGAGAGAAAGAGAGAAAACAACAUAAUUAAACCAGGAACCGAGAAACGCGCACUUGUUCUUUGGACCUAAUUACAUAUAUAUAUAUGUAUAUAUAUAUUUAUAUAUAUAUAUAUAUAUAUACAUAUAUAUAUGUAUGUAUAGUGUGUGUAUGUAUGUAUAGUGUGUGUGUGUGUGCAUGUCUGGUUAAAUAGCUCCACGUUUACUGGCACGAUGGAAAGGAGUUGAAGAGAAAAGAAAGCGGAUAUUUAAUACGAUUUGUACAGGGAUCUCUAACUUACCAGGAGAAUAUUAUUUGUAUACAUACGUAUAUAUAUAUUAUAUAUAUAUUAUAUAUAUAUAUAUAAGACACGCGCACACAAACACAUAAGGCGUUUGUAUAAACAAACAAGUGUUCAUAUAAAUAUAAAAAGAGAAAUCAGUUUAGAUACACACAUACAAGUGCGUGUGUGUAUAUGUACAUAAUUACACGCAAAAAAAUAUCUCCCCACACGGCAACUUCAACACCUCUCCACUCGAAAACAGAGCAAUAUAUGGUAGAUAUAUAUAUAUAUAUAUACUUUUAUAUUUAUAAGCGUAUAUAAUUAAAGUCAAACACGUACGUGUCAGUACACAGACACACACAUAUAUAUAUAUUUACAUCUCGAAACCAAAACCGUUGAGGGCUUUUGUCACAGACGUGAGAAUUCACCUGCAUACGGCCACCUCAUAUAUACACCCACGCUUCAACAACAAGCUAUAUAUAUAUAUAUAUAUAUAUAUAUAUAUAUAUAUAUAUAUAUAUAUAUAUAUUGGCAAGACAGAAACGGAAUCACUCGAGGAGAGGCAUCACCAUGGUGAAAUUUCGGGAUGGACCCAUCAAAGAAGGAAUUGACAAUUCGGUUUUCAUUAUUCCUGGCAUUAUCGUGGUUUCCCUGAUCGGUGAGUUUUGUAUCCAUCGUACCGACACUAUUGUCUGCGUGUAUAAGUGGUAGCUUAUCUGCCAAUCUAAUCCAUCCAUCUAUCUAUCCAUCCAUCUAUCUAUCUAUCUAUCUAUCUAUCUAUCUAUCUAUCUAUCUAUCUAUCUAUCUAUCUAUCUAUCUGUCUGUCUGUCUGUCUGUCUGUCUGUCUGUCUGUCUGUCUGUCUAUCUAUCUAUCUAUCUAUCUAUAUCUUAUUUAUUUAUUUAAUUUUCGAGUCUGGUUUCUUGCUAUUUACUCCGAGUUUCACCUGUAGGUGCUCAAGACCUUUGGGUUUUGUAAUUUCUACUCCAGCACCGACAGAUCUCUCUUUCUCUCUCUCUAUGCAUAUAUAUAUAUAUAUAUAUAUAUAUAUAUAUAUAUAUAUAUAUAUAGAGAGAGAAAGAGAAGACGACUGUGUCUGUGUGUGGUAGUCGGAUACAGAGAGAUCUGGAGAAAGUGAGAGUUUGUGUGUAUGUUUGUUGAAAAGCGGAAAUAGAGGUAAGACAGACGGUUUGUGUUCGUAUGUGAUGGAUGUAGAGAGAGAAUUCUGGUAUACAGAGACCAAUUAUUAGCGUAGAGACACGUGUACGUGAUUCCGUGCGUAUACACACACACAUACAUGUAAUUAUACAUGCACAAGCAUACGUGUAUAAAGAUAUAUAAAUAUCUAUGUAUGUGUAUAUGUGGAAAUAUGCGUAUGUAUAUACGUAUAAAUAUAUGUAUAAAAACAUACAUAUCUAUGUGCAUAUGUGUGUGUAUGUGUGUAUAUAUAUAUAUAUAUAUAUAUAUAUAUAUAUAUAUAUAUAUAUAUAUAUAUAUACACGUGAAAGACGAACGUUUCGAGAUGGUGACAUUCGUACGCCUGUUUCUAUGUCUCUACUUUUGUACAUAUGGUAUACGUGUAGGUGUUGUAGAGAGAAAAAAAGCAAUCCUUCGGUAUUGGUAGACGACAUCAGUCACCCAUACAACCUUGCCUCAUGACGUCGUCUCCUCAUAUCGACACGAUGUAGACCAAUACCGAAGGAUCGCCGAACAAAUGUAUAAACGGGUAGACACCAGGUAUCAAAUCAAUUCAUAACUUAUCUAUGUAAGAGAUAGAAUUUUAUACACACACGCUCUACCCGCUCAAGUGUAAAUCUAUUGAGCACUAAUUAAAUGUAUUCUAUACAGAAAAGAUCUGAUUCUCAUAUCUGAACUGUAUAUAUCCAGGUGAGUUGAUAUGGAGAUAAUGAUGCAGGUAAACGUGAUUAGCCUCAUCAUCAUCAUCGUCGUUUAACGUCCGCUUUCCAUGCUGGCAUGGGUUGGACGAUUUUGACGUAGGUCUGGCAAACCAGAUGGCUACACCAGGCUCCAAUCUGAUCUGGCAGAGUUUCUACAGCUGGAUGCCCUUCCUAACGCCAACCACUCUGAGAGUGUAGUGAGUGCUUUUUACGUGACACCGGCAUGGGAGCCACUCAGGUAGUACUUGCAAUAACCUCACUCGAAUCUUUUUACACAUGGCACAGAUGCCAGUAAGGCGAUGCUGGAAACGAUCACGCUCGAAUGGUGUCUUUUAUGUGCCACUGGCACGGAGGCCAGAUAGCCGCUCUGGCAAUGGUCCAAUAUAUAUAAAUAUAUUCUGGAGGCAGAGUGGCUAAAUUCCUUUCAAGUGUUGGACCUCACAGAGUCCUUGACCGAGACCUUUGGCAUUAUGUCCUGCUUGAGAAGAAGACCCAUCAAGCCAGGCAAAAUUGCAGUUGUGGCAAUGGCAGUUCACACACAUCCAUCUACUUUUCACCCUGAGCAAGAGGCCCUUAGUUGCCAGCAGAGAUAGGAGCUCCCUGAACUUUGCCACAUUAUUUUUAUUCUAGCUGCUACACUCUCAGAGCAACCACCCCUACUACAGACUUGGUAACCUAGGUAGCGGAAGCUAUCAACUACUUUUUGUUUCUUCCCCUGGCAUAUGAUGAAAUCUGUUUUUUGUACACCUUCAGUGUUUAUUCCCCCUGUGCAUCUGCCACACACAAAACCUAUCUUCCUGGUUAACCUUCCUUUGAUAUCGCUGCACCUUUUAUGUGUCCAUCAUUUACACCAGGUACAUCAUAUGGAGUUUCUAUCCACACCUUUUCUACAGAUCAAGCAGGGCCAUCUACCUGGGUUUGUGAUUUGACAGCCUUCCUACUUACUAAGAUUGUGGUUUUUGCCAGGUUAACCCUAAGGCCUUUUGAUUCUAGGCCUUGCUUCCACAACCUAAACUUUGUCUCUAGUUCUGGCUGUGACUUGGCUAUUAGAGCAAGGACAUCAGAUUAGAGGAUUUCCCAGAGGCAGCCUGUCUUGAAUUCCCCUGUUAUUGCCUGGAGGACUGUAAUGAAUGAGAGGGAGAUGAGGACCGAUCCUUGGUGAACCCCUACUUCUACUCGGAAUUCUUCACUAUACUCAUUGCCAACCUUCACCUUGUACAGCUCUUACGAGGCACUCGUCUAUCCCCAGUUUCCGCAUUGACCACCAGAUAAGGGAUCAGGGGACCCUGUCAAAGGCUUUCUCCAAGUCAACAAAAGCCAAGUUCAAAGGUUUUCCUUUGGCUAGGUAUUUCUCCUGCAGUUGAAAUACAGCAUCACUGGUGCUUCUGCCUUGCACAGAACUGAACUGCGUCUUAUGUAGGCUAACUCUCUCCCUAAUAAGUUGGGUUAUGACCCUCUUUGUAACUUUCAUCACCUGAUCCAAUAAUUUGACACCCCUGUGGUUAUUUCUAUCUAAAGCAUCACCUUUCCCCUUGUAGCAGUUGACUAUGGUGCUGCUGCUACACCAGUCAUUGGGUAUGACUCCUUCAUGAACUCCUUGAUUUACGAUGCGGGUGAGAAGAAAGUAACCCACACCACCUGAUAUUUUAAGCAUCCCUGUGGUGAUUCCUGAUGGGCCAGGUGCUUUCCCUGUCAUAGUAUCCUUAAUUGCUUUAUCUACCUGGGUACUGUCAAUUCAGGUAGUUGGUCCCUCUACUGGGUCAACCUUUGUCAGACUCUCCUCUUCCUACCAUUCAUUCUCCAGAUUCAGCAGUCUUUCAUAAUGGCUUCUCCAAGCCUCUUCCUUUGCAGAAUCAUUAAACACAAUUGCACCAUCAUCCAUGUGGACACAUUUCUCUCCUAUGGCAUCACGGUUUUCUCUCACACAUUGUCUUGAAAUCUGAAAUCUUUUUUAUUCGUUUAUUUGUUUCGAUUGUUUGACUGCGGCCAUACUGGAGCACCGCCUUUAGUUGAACAAAUCAACCCCAGGACUUAUUCUUUGUAAGCCUAGUACUUGUUCUAUCGGUCUCUUUUGCUGGACAGCUAGGUUACAGGGAUGUAUACACACCAACAUCGGUUAUCAAGCGAUGAUUGGGGAACAUAUACAUAUAUAUGGAUGUAUAUAUAUAUAUAUGUGUGUGUGUGUGUGCGUGUAUAAAUAUAUAUAAAUAUGUAUGUAUAUAUAUGUGUGUACACACACACACACACACAUAUAUAUGUAUAUAUAUACGACGGGCUUCCUUCAGUUUCCGUCUACCAAAUCCACUCUGAAGGCUUUGAUUGACCUGAAGCUAUGGUAGAAGACACUUGCCCAGGGUGUCAUGCAGUGGGACUGAACCCAGAACCAUGUGGUUGGUAAGCAAGCUACUUACCACACAGCCACUCCUGCGCCUAUGUUAAUAUUUGUGCAAUAUCUAUGUGAGUCAUUACUAAGACAUGUCAUAAAUCUUCUCUCUCUCUCUCUUUCUCUCUUUCCAGCGCUCGUUAGUUACAAAUUGGUGUCGAGUCUUUACCAGAAACAACAAAUCAAAGAUGAACGACGGAAAGCAAAACAGAUGCGAAAAGACAAAGAACAGAACAAAAAACAUAAAAAGCAGUAAAACUAUGAACCACAAAGAACUGUAUGGGCCGCUGUGGGCCACUAUAUGCUACGCUGGACCACUAUUGUGCACUUUGGACCACUUUGGGUAAAUGUAGAUCUUCAUGGACCAUCACAAGGGUUUUGAAUGCCUAAAAUAAUGACCUUAGUAUGAUGAAAUGUGUGUGUGUGAUAUGGGGUGGUUUUGGUGUAGUGUGCCCCCCUGGGCUGCUGUAAACCACUCUGGACCAUUAAGGGCCAUCUUGGGUGGCUGUAGAUCAUUAUGGACUGCUACAAGUUUUAUGAACACUUGAAACAAUUCACCUGGGUAUGAUGUGUGUGUGUGAGUGUGUGUCUGAUGUGAGGUUUUGGCGUAUUGUGACACUCCGGUCCACUGUGGACCACCUUGCACAACUGUGGGCCAUUAUGGACCACCAGAAGGUUUACAAAUGUCUAAAAUAGUUGACUUGCAUAUGAUGAAGUAUAGUAUGAAGUUUGUGUGUGGUGUGGUGAUAUGUAUGUGUGGUUUUGUUGUAGUGUGCCAAUUUGGUCCAGUGGACUACCUUGGAUGAGUGUGGGCCCUUAUGGACAACCACAAGGUUUAUGAAUGCCUAAAGUGAUUAACCUGAGUACGAUAAAAUGUGAAGUGUGUGUGUGUUGGUAUAAGGUUUUGGUGUAUUGUGACACUGGUCCAUUGUGGACCACCUUGCACAAAUGUGGGUCGUUAAGGAAAACCACAAGGUUUAUGACAACCUAAAAUAUAUGACCUAAUUAUGAAGAAAUAAAGUAAGUGUGUGUGUGUGUGUGUAAAAUGUGGUUUACGUGUAGUGACACUCUGGGCCAUCAGGGACCAUCAUGGAGGGCAGCCACUGGCCCUUAUGGAUACCACAAGAUUUUUGAACUCUUAAGAUAAUGAACUGACUACAAUGAAAUGUAAAGUGUGUGUGUGUUGUGAUGUCCAUUUUGUAAUAAGCGCCCAGUGGACAUUCGAUGUUGUGUGUGUGUGUGUGGUGGGUGGUGAGGAAACUUAUCGUUGGAUGCAGCGAAUGUGUGAUGAUGUGCAACAAUGGUUUUUAUUUUAAAGAAGAUUGAGGGGGAAGGGAUAGUGGUGGCGACACUGGUAGUGUUGGAGUGAUAUGUGGUGGUUGGCAGGGAUGGAUGGUCAGGUUGUUACAUCUUGUCCAGGUUUUAAUUUCAAUCUCAAUCCCACAUAGGUAAGAGCAGACCUGCAAUACAAGACGUUCCAGCUGUGACCAUCCUGUCCUAUUUGGGGUGGUGGUGGUGGUGGUAGCAAUACACCUUCGACUACAUUGACCUGUGUUCUAGCUUUGGUGUAAUUUGACUGCUAUUUCAAACAUCUGCUAGAAAUAGCAGCCAGUGGAUAGCGGAUGGUAGUGAUGUUGAUAAGGGGGAGAAGGUGACUCCCAAACCCCCACUUGUCUACCCCCGACCCCCCCACUUCAUCUUUCUCUGUGAAUUAACAAAUGUUGUUAUUGUUUUUUUUGUUAUUUAUUUUUUUUGUUUUACUUAUCUUUCUUUCUGUUGUAAGUCUACUACUGCUGCUACUACUACUACCAUUACCACUACUACUUCAUCCCCACUCCCCCUCCCCCUCCUCCUCCUAUUUUCCCUACUACUGCUGCUGCUGAUACUUGUACUACAAAAAACCCCACCCCCAUCUCUACCACCCCAACAUCUUUAUUGCUGCUGCUGUGGCUACUACUACUACAACCACCACCACCACCACCACCACCAUUACCAUGGUUGUUACCAAGGUAACUACGGUCCAUCAUCAUGGCUACUAUUAAUCUUUUUCACCAAAUUUUUUUCCUUUAUAAUUCCUAGUUCAAAUAUUGCUGGGAGAAAACCCUGCUUUAUCUCCCCUCCUGGGCCAAGUACCAGGCAUAAGUACCAGUAAUAAAUGUGUUGUGAAAGGAAUCGCCCCCUAAAGAAACCUGCGCCCCCUAAAAAAAAUUUAUGUAAGUCUCUAUGUGAUUGCUGCUGUGACCUUCCUAGAAAUAGCAGCCAAAUUUCUCUCAAAGCACACAAUGACCAGAAUGUCAAAAGAAGGAUAUAAUGCAUAUUGUACUCUGAAAUGAACCAUAUCUGAAAAGAUAGGAUGGGCAUGGCUGGAAUGUAUUUGGUCACAGGCCUGCCCAAUCAGGGCUCAUAUUAUUAUUAUUAUCAUUAUUAUUAUUAUUAUUAUUAUUAAGGCAGUGACCUGGCAGAAUUGUUAGCACACUGGAUGAAAUGCGAGCUGGCAGAAUCGUUAGCACGUCGGGCGAAAUGCUUAGCGGUAUUCCGGCUGCCGUUAUGUUGUGAGUUCAAAUUCUGCCGAGGUCGACUUUGCCUUUCAUCCUUUCAGGGUCGAUAAAUUAAGUACCAGUUAAACACUGGGGUCGAUAUAAUCGACUUAAUACCUAUGUCUGUCCAUGUUUGUCCCCUCUAUGUUUUGCCCCUUGUGGGUAAUAAAGAAAUAGGUAUUUCGUCUGUCUUUACAUUCUGAGUUCAAAUUCUACUGAGGUCGACUUUGCCUUUCAUCCUUUCAGGGUCGAUAAAUUAAGUACCAGUUGCAUUCUAGGGUUGAUGUAAUAGACUAUUCCCCUCCCCCACCCGAAUUUCAGGCCUUGUGCCUAUAGUAGAAAGGAUUAUUAUUAUUAUUCUUAAGUGGUUGAGCUGGCAGAAUUCUUAGCAUGCUGGGCAAAAUGGUAAGCAACAUUUUGUCCAUUGCUGCUACGUUCUGAGUUCAAAUUCCACCGAGGUCAACUCUGCCUUCAUCCUCUCAGAGUUGAUACACUGGGGGUCACUGUACUCGACUAGCCCCCCACCCCCUCCUCCCCCCAAUUUUAGGCCUUGCGCCUUUAGUAGAAAGGAUUAUUAAGGCAGCAGGCUGGCAGAAUCGUUAGCAACGGGCCAAAAUGCUUAGCAACAUCUCAUCCAUCGCUACAUUCUGAGUUCACAUUCAAAUGAGUACCAGUCAUGCACUGGGGGUCUGUUAUAGAUUUGCACCCUCCUACGAAAUUUCAGGCCUUGUGCCUAAAGUAGAAAGGAUUGUUAUUAUUAAUAUUAUUAUUAUUAUUAUUAUCACCAUUAUUAUUAUUAUUAUUAUUAUUAUUAUUAUUAUUAUUAUUAUUACCAUACCACUUUGAUGUGGUUACAUGAUGACAGGGAGAAAAACCCAACAAUAUAUAUAAGAAAAAUAUAUUUUAAGAAAGAAAAGAAAUAUAUAAAAAGUUGAUUGUAAUUGGUGAGUGCUGAAUAUCAAAAACUGCGUUUAUACGCAUAUUUACAUACUUAUAUACACACGACACCCACACACACACAUACACACAUAUACAUACUUACAUAUGCAAACUUACAUAUGCAUGAAUGCAAACAUUAUAUAUAUAUAUAUAUAUAUAUAUAUAUAUAUAUAUAUAU